ACCUGGCUGGCUCAGUUGGUGGUGGCAUGUGACUCUUGAUCUCAGGGUUGUGAGUUCAAGCCCCAUGCUGGGCA
rnacentral:tRNA from 1 species